CCCCUAGAUGUUCUGGGCCGCACGCGCGCUACACUGAACAGUUCAACAAGUCUUAACCUUGGCCGAUAGGUCUGGGUAAUCUUUGAACGCUGUUCGUGAUUGGGAUAGACCUUUGCAAUUAUGGGUCUUCAACGAGGAAUUCCUAGUAAACGCAAGUCAUCAGCUUGCAUUGAUUACGUCCCUGCCCUUUGUACACACCGCCCGUCGCACCUACCGAUUGAAUGGUCCGGUGAGGCCCCCGGAAUGUGGUCACGGCUUUGGUUCGCCAAACUGAGAUCGCGUGAAGCUGUCCAAACCUUAUCAUUUAGAGGAAGGAGAAGUCGUAACA
rnacentral:rRNA from 1 species